AUUGAACGCUGGCGGCAGGCUUAACACAUGCAAGUCGAGCGAGCGGCGGACGGGUGAGUAAUGUCUGGGAAACUGCCUGAUGGAGGGGGAUAACUACUGGAAACGGUAGCUAAUACCGCAUACCAUCCGAUGUUCCCAGAUGGGAUUGGCUAGUAGGUGGGGUAAUGGCUCCCCUAGGCGACGAUCCCUUGCUGGUCGGAGAGGAUGACCAGCAACACUGGAACUGAGCCACGGUCCAGACUCCUACGGGAGGCAGCAGUGGGGAAUAUUGCGAAAUGGGCGCAAGCCUGAUGCAGCCAUGCCGCGUGUGUGAGGAAGGCCUUCGGGUUGUAAAGCACUUUCAGCGAGGAGGCGUUACUCGCAGAGGAAGCACCGGCUAACUACGUGCCAGCAGCCGCGGUAAUAC
rnacentral:rRNA from 1 species